rnacentral:rRNA from 1 species
AGUGUGCUAGCUUGCUAGAAUUUAGAUACAGGUGCUGCACGGCUGUCGUCAGCUCGUGUCGUGAGAUGUGGGUUAAGUCCCGCAACGAGCGCACCCUCGUGUUAGUUGCUAACAGUUCGGCUGAGAACUCUAAACAGACUGCCUACGCAAGUAGGAGGAAGGUGAGGACGACGUCAAGUCAUCAUGGCCCUUACGGCCAGGGCUACACACGUGCUACAAUGGGGUAUACAAAGAGCAGCGAUACGGUGACGUGGAGCAAAUCUAGAAAAUGCCUCUCAGUUCGGAUUGUAGUCUGCAACUCGACUACAUGAAGUUGGAAUCGCUAGUAAUCGUAGAUCAGCAAUGCUACGGUGGAUACGUUCCCGGGUCUU